rnacentral:rRNA from 1 species
ACCAGACUCCUACGGGAGGCAGCAGUGGGGAAUAUUGCACAAUGGGGGGAACCCUGAUGCAGCGACGCCGCGUGAGUGAAGAAGUAUUUCGGUAUGUAAAGCUCUAUCAGCGGGGAAGAUAAUGACGGUACCUGACUAAGAAGCCCCGGCUAACUACGUGCCAGCAGCCGCGGUAAUACGUAGGGGGCAAGCGUUAUCCGGAUUUACUGGGUGUAAAGGGUGCGUAGGUGGCAGGGCAAGUCAGAUGUGAAAGCCCGGGGCCCAACCCCGGUACUGCAUUUGAAACUGUCCGGCUGGAGUGCAGGAGAGGUAAGCGGAAUUCCUAGUGUAGCGGUGAAAUGCGUAGAUAUUAGGAGGAACACCAGUGGCGAAGGCGGCUUACUGGACUGUAACUGACACUGAGGCACGAAAGCGUGGGGAGCAAACAGGAUUAGAUACCCCGGUACG